rnacentral:rRNA from 1 species
UACGUAGGGUGCGAGCGUUGUCCGGAAUUAUUGGGCGUAAAGCGCGCGCAGGCGGUCCUUUAAGUCUGAUGUGAAAUCUUGCGGCUCAACCGCAAGCGGUCAUUGGAAACUGGGGGACUUGAGUACAGAAGAGGAAAGCGGAAUUCCACGUGUAGCGGUGAAAUGCGUAGAGAUGUGGAGGAACACCAGUGGCGAAGGCGGCUUUCUGGUCUGUAACUGACGCUGAGGCGCGAAAGCGUGGGGAGCAAACAGG